CCUCGCACUUCCUGGGUCGCCCGCCGCCGCAGUCUCGCCUCGCCGCGGGAGUCCGAGCCGCCGGUGCCCCGGCUCCAGCCCCCGCAGCCCGCGGCGCCCGUCCGAGGGAGCCCCGGCGCCCGGGGAAGGGAAAAGUGGGCGAGCGCGCCCUCGCCCAGCCCCGCGCCCCAGCCCUGCCCGGCGAGGAAGGACCGGGAAGAUGAACAACGGCGGCAAAGCCGAGAAGGAGAACACCCCGAACGAGGCCAACCUUCAGGAGGAAGAGGUCCGGACCCUAUUUGUCAGUGGUCUCCCUCUGGAUAUCAAACCUCGGGAGCUCUAUCUGCUUUUCAGACCAUUUAAGGGCUACGAGGGUUCUCUUAUAAAGCUCACAUCUAAGCAGCCCGUAGGUUUUGUCAGUUUUGACAGUCGCUCAGAAGCAGAAGCUGCAAAGAAUGCUUUGAAUGGCAUCCGCUUCGAUCCUGAAAUUCCGCAAACACUACGACUAGAGUUUGCUAAGGCAAACACGAAGAUGGCCAAGAACAAACUAGUAGGGACUCCAAACCCCAGUACUCCUCUGCCCAACACUGUACCUCAGUUCAUUGCCAGAGAGCCAUAUGAGCUCACAGUGCCUGCACUUUACCCCAGUAGCCCUGAAGUGUGGGCCCCGUACCCUCUGUACCCAGCGGAGUUAGCGCCUGCUCUACCUCCUCCUGCUUUCACCUAUCCCGCUUCACUGCAUGCCCAGGUUCUCAGCCCCCCACCUGCCCCCGGGCUGUGUCCCAGUCCUGUCCUUUACCACCUGUCUCAGGAAGGCAGCUCCAACUCUGCCCUUUGCUUAGUGAGCAAGUGGAUUCAGAUGCACAAAGCCAUAAGCCAUGGAUGCGCUGGCUCCCUCCCUCCGAGGCUACUUCUCAGGGCUGGAAGUCCCGUCAGUUCUGCUGAAUACUAUGUUCCAGGUGUGUGAUGGUGGCUGCGAUCUGUCUUGUGGGUGUUAAUGCCAUCUUUGGCGGUGGCGACCGUACUCGAGCUGUUCCACGAAACUGGAGCGUGCCGGGACUGAAAUAGCCACAUUCUGACCUUCUGUUCAGUCUGGGAACAUCUAUGGCAAUGUGGACGCAUUCUUUUCCCAUGUGAGAAUUACAUCUACACGGCACAGUUAUGGAAAAGCUCGGGAAACUAUCAGCUCUCCUCCCCUCUCUUCUCUCUUCCCUCCUCCCUUCCAUGGGUUUUCACCUCAAAGCCUUCCUAAUCAGCCAAAAUUACCCAGCCCCACACACCUUGCUUCCUGUGCAAGGAGGAAGGGGACAGAGUGAUGGGAGGUCAGGGUGGGCUGCUUAUUGUCCGGGGAAGCCAAAAGCACCCUCCCACCCCCUCCGCCCCCCAAACUGCUUCCUGGGGCAGCCCCCCGUCAGGGCCAGAGCGGCCCCAUGCAGGUGCUGAGGGUGCUUCUCAGAGGGGGGUGUGAUCAAGUCUUAGGGUCACAUGCCAUUUAUUACCCAUCGUUCUUGUCUCCUUUGCUGCCCCAGAGUGCAAGUGUCGGAAGUUUUGCUACACGCAGGUAACGAUGUCUGGGGUGGAGAAACGAGGACAUAGUCUUAGGGAGGAAAAUUAUCCUUCAGGAGGCCAAACCAAUGGCCUGGACAGGGAGGACUCCUUGUGAGGACGCCGAGGAGAAAGGCCUGCAGGCUGAAGUGCCCAGGGAAGGCCAGAGAGGUGGCACUCCCUCCGAGUUCUGAGAGGAGUUUGUGAGGACAGAAGAAGGGGGAUGUAAGCAUAUGCCCCACAGGUUCUUGUCAAAAGUGGGUUCUGACCAAGCUUUGAGGGCCUCGAGGGAAGUGGUAGGGAUUCGGGUCUUGGGGAGGCAGGCGAGGGGUUUUCAGAAGCUUUGUCACCUUGCCCGCAGCAAAAUGAAGAAUCAAGUUAGACAUACCGGGAGAGGCAAACCCAAGACGGUGAUGGUGGUGUCGGGAAUUAGCAGUCGUCCGUGUCACCAGGGGCCGGGUGGAGGGACAGUGACACAAGUGGCGGGGGCGGGAGCUGGAGCCGUGUUAUGGUGAGGCGGUGAGUCUGGGUUCAGAGGUGGUGCCUUUGAGGUCACGGCAGCAAUGUCCAGGGCACAGCUGACAGCGAUGGGGACAACUGGGAACUGGCUGUGGAACCAGAAAGGCCAGCAGUAGCAACGUGCACUUACCCAAGGAUGGUUGUUGAGCAGAGAAGGCAGACCCGCUGGGCCCCUGCCCAGGGCUGGAGGACACCGUGGGCACCUGAUCCAGCCUAAGCCCACGGGCAGGUGUGCACACACAUGGAACAUGGCCUGUGCUCCUCCGCCUGUCCGUUCAGUCCUUCCUCUCUGUCCCUGAAGGCAGUGUGGCAGCUUGGGUUUCAGCAAAGUCUCAGUAAUGAUUCAAGACUGCCCCCCCUCCUUUUUUUUUUGCCACGUCCCUGCGUGGGGUCUGGGCUGCCUUCCCAGGAUAGCGCUGUGCGAGCCCCACAUGCAGGCCCCGCAGGUUCCCAGCAUCCAGGGGCUGCCGAGCACCGUCCCCUGUGAAUUGUUCCAAAGUAGGAACAGCCAUAGGGUGACUGCUGUUCCUAAGAAACGGCUUCCUGGAAUCAACACACAGCUCUGACUGCUGGCCCAUGAUCAAGUUUGGGAUGACGUGGAACUUGUCAUUCCAGACCUGACAAGCCGCAGGAGGGCAGGGGAGAGAGCAUCUCGUGUCCACUUCCUCGAAGCAGGUUUCCGUUUCUGUGGCCGCCCAGACCCGGGGAUGCAAGGGGGCACUGCCUCCUCCCAGUCUGGUGGGGAGGCUCCUUCAGUGUAGUUCAAGGGCAGCAGGUCAGGCAUUUGAGGGACUGUGAGGUCACGGGGUCAUUGGGAAGGUCAGCUGCUCCAGCCCCAGAGAUCAUGCUUGGCGCCAUGGCCCCUGCCACCAGCCCGGGGCUGCUCCGUGCCACACACGCCUGGAGUGUGGGACCCUGGUGCCCCAGGCAGGUUCAAGUCAGGGUGCGGCAAUGGGAUGUAGCUCUCAAGAGCGGCCCCUGCUAAGUGUCACAGGUCUUGUGACGUGUACCUAAGAUGGGGUGUGCAUAGUCCCGGCCCACUCUGCUUUCUCCGUCACCAACCAUCUGCCAAGUGACCGGUGAUCCCCCCGCCUGUGCUGGGCCCCCAGGGGAGGCAGAGCGGUCAAAGUGAGAUUUCCAGAAGGAGUCUAUCUCCUGCGCUCCUGCCAUUUCAGAGAGCUCUGCUGAGAAGAUGAGGCAAGGGUGGAGGGUCAUGGAGGUCAAGCCUUGCAGAGCUUGACCUGGGAGCAUCUCCAACCCCAGGGCUGUCUGGCUGGGCCUGUGAAAAGCACAGUUAACUGAUGUACUGGCACCAACUGAAUAGUGGCAGCGGGCUCGAGAGACUGGUGAGUGUCACCCGCAUAUUACAGUUGAGGCUCCGAGUGUCCAGAUCCCUGCCCUCGAAAGCUGUACCCCGAUUUCUCUCUGGGGGGAUUUUACCGUGAUCCAUGGGUCUGUGGUAACUAUGCUGGAUCUUCUGACUUGCGGCCCAUUGCUUCUGCCGUCAUCUACGAACCAGGCCGUGCCAGGGUUUGCCGGGUCGCAGUGCACGUGCAGCCAGCACUGGGCGGGUCUGGUCUGCAUAGGAGUAUUAGCUCGUCCGGUUAGUGAUGUUUGUUCACAGAAUGCUUCUCACUUCAGGAUUUACUGCUAAAUACACAUCCUCUUAAAUCAGUUUAACUUCAGAUAGUUAGAUGGGUGGUUACUAAUAAUGCCAUUUUCUUUAUAGCUUCCUCCCCCACACACACACAGAAGCAUUUCCCUGUUCAAAAUUCUAGUGUAUGCAGAGCUACUUCUGCAUAGACCUUUGUGUGCCUUUUUAUUUAUUUUUGAGAGAAAAUUCCACGCAGGCUCCUCAGUGUCAGCAUGGAGCCUGACACAGGGCUCGAACUCACAAACUGAGAUCAUGACCUGAGCUGAAGCUGGAUGCUUAACUGACUGAACCACCCAGGUGCCCCUUUACGUACCUUUUCCACAACCAUAAAUUUAGGAGUCUGAUGUGUUGGUAGAAUGGUGAGAAAAUGGAGUUGGACAGAGUUAGAGGUUCUGCAGUCUUCACCUAGGUGAAGCAAACACAGGACCGUGAUGGAACUCAGCAAAGUCUCAGUGAUGAUCCAAGACUGCCCCUUCCCCGCCCCCCCCCCUUUUUUUUUUGCCACAAAGCAAACCACAUGUGAGCAUUUCCUUGCAAGUGCAGGGGAAGAAGGUCUUGAAAGGUUUCUGGUAAGAGAUAAAUACGUUGCCCGUGUAUCUAAGGUGAGAACGUUGCUGCUCUCGUGAGGGAUCUUUGAAGGGUCAGGAAAUCUGUUCUGUGCACACAGGCUGCUGCAGAGACGCCCCCAUGAAUGUCCCGGGGGUCUCCGCCCUGAGUAGUCUCCCCUGCGCGGUCCCACAAGCUUGGAGGAGGGUGAGGUCUCCCCUCACACGUGUUCUUUCUGUUUCAGGCUUGAACAAACCUUGCCCAGUUUUGAUCCCUUCAAGACUUUGCCACAGCCUCUAUCACACAUCUGUUUUUCUCGAAGAAAAAAAUAUAAUAAAAAUGUUUUACUCUUUUACACUGUA